rnacentral:rRNA from 1 species
AUCAACUUUCGAUGGUAGGAUAGAGGCCUACCAUGGUGGUAACGGGUAACGGGGUGUUAGGGCACGACACCGGAGAGGGAGCCUGAGAAACGGCUACCACAUCCAAGGAUGGCAGCAGGCGCGCAAAUUACCCAAUCCCGACACGGGGAGGUAGUGACAAUAAAUAACAAUACGGGGUUCUUUCGGAUCUCGUAAUUGGAAUGAGUACAAUUUAAAUCUCUUAACGAGGAACAAUUGGAGGGCAAGUCUGGUGCCAGCAGCCGCGGUAAUUCCAGCUCCAAUAGCGUUUAUUAAAGUUGUUUCAGUUAAAAAGCUCGUAGUUGAAUUUCGGGGUUAGUAGAUUGGUCAUGCCUCUGGUAUGCACUGGUCUCACUGAUUCCUCCUUCCUGAUGAGCCGUAAUGCCAUUAAUUUGGUGUUGCGGGGAAUUUGGACUGUUACUUUGAAAAAAUUAGAGUGUUUAAAGCAAGCUAACGCUUGAAUACAUUAGCAUGGAAUAAUGAAAUAGGACGUUCGAUCCUAUUUUGUUGGUUUCUAGGAUUGACGUAAUGAUUAAUAGGGAUAGUUGGGGGCAUUAGUAUUCAAUUGUCAGAGGUGAAAUUCUUGGAUUUAUUGAAGACUAACUACUGCGAAAGCAUUUGCCAAGGAUGUUUUCAUUAAUCAAGAACGAAAGUUAGGGGAUCGAAGACGAUCAGAUACCGUCGUAGUCUUAACCAUAAACUAUGCCGACUAGGGAUCGGAUGAUGUUAAUUUUUUAAUGACUCAUUCGGCGCCUUACGGGAAACCAAAGUGUUUGGGUUC